UAAAAUAACAAUAUUCCAAAAGAAGUAAUGC
rnacentral:piRNA from 1 species